rnacentral:rRNA from 1 species
CCCCUAGAUGUUCUGGGCCGCACGCGCGCUACACUGAACAGUUCAACAAGUCUUAACCUUGGCCGAUAGGUCUGGGUAAUCUUUGAACGCUGUUCGUGAUUGGGAUAGACCUUUGCAAUUAUGGGUCUUCAACGAGGAAUUCCUAGUAAACGCAAGUCAUCAGCUUGCAUUGAUUACGUCCCUGCCCUUUGUACACACCGCCCGUCGCACCUACCGAUUGAAUGGUCCGGUGAAUCUUUAGGACUGUGGCUGAGGCCUUGCCUUGUGCGGGUCUGGCCGUGGGAAUUUAGUUAAACCUUACCAUUUAGAGGAAGGUGAANUCGUAACA